ensembl:lncRNA
AUGGAGGAAGGUAAUGUUGAAACAGUUGGCCCUGAAGAAAUGGCCACCAAACGGCCAGUCAAGUUAACUGAGAAGGCAAUUGAGAACAAACUGUACAGGCUACUUGGCUCCAGGAGAAGUUUUCUAGCCCGACACACAACUCUAAGGAGGGAAGUUACCAGUUUAAUCACAUUAGCUGAUAAUUUGUCAACAGUGAAAGAAAUAAUGCAGGAAGAAUUUAAUCCAGUUCUCCAAGAUUUUGUUGACAUCACUGAACAAUUAGGAGAUCUUUUACCUGAAGAUGAGAAAGAGGCAGAUAUUAACAACUGGUUUGAGCCUAAAAUGACAGUUAUCAGACAGUUUACUGAAGAAACUGACAAAUGGAUGGAGCAGGAGACCUUGAACUUACAACGAACAAACCAAGAAUCACAAGCUGAGGAAGAGAUAAACCCUGAUGAUAGUGUGUCACAAGUGAGCCAUAAGUCCAAUAAACUAAGCAAGAAGGGCUCAUGUGCUGGAUGCUCAACUGUCGUGUCUUCUCGUGCAUCAGUUUGUGCUAUUGAAGAAGCCAAGCUCUCUGGUCUAGUAGAACGUGCUGCUAUUCUGGAGAAGAAACAAGAGUUAGAAAUGGAAGAAGUACGUAUCAAAGCAGCUAAAGAGAAGUUAGAUCUAGAUGCAGCUAUUGCAGAAAAAAGAGCAAAAGUCAGAAUACUGAAACAGUAUGUGAAAUCAGAGGAUGGCAUGAACAGCUACCUGCGCCCUCAUGCAGCAGGUGGUGCAAGAGUGAAAGAAGAGGAAAACCCCGCCCCUCUCUCUCAGAUCAGGUCUUCUUACAGAAGCCAGGCAUCACUAAGGCCAUUGCAAGAUGUAAGACAUCAGGUUGCUACAGUAAACACUGCAGUGCAACAGCAUGAUGGAAGCAUGAGUGGCCUUCUGAAAGUAAUGGAAAAUCAAAACGCUAUUACAGAGAUGCUUGUUAAGCAACAGCAGUAUGCUCAGCUUCCUGAGAAAGAAGUGGCAGUGUUCAAGGGUGAUCCACUUACUUAUAGAUCUUUCAUUAGAGCUUUCGAACAAGCCAUUGAGCAGAAGACGGACAGUGAACAAGACAAAUUGUAUUACCUACAACAGUUCACUGCAGGAGAACCGCAGGAGCUUGUUCGAAGCUGCGAACACAGACCAUUACACAAGGGGUUCAAAGAAGCAAAAGAGCUCUUGAAGAAACAUUAUGGAGAUGAGUUGGUCAUUGCAAGCGCUUACAUCGAUAAAGCUUUAAAGUGGGCACCAAUCAAAGCUGAAGAUGGAAAAGCACUUAAGACCUAUGCGUUAUUCCUAACUGGUUGUUGCAACACGAGCCAGGAUGUUGAAUCGAUGGAGGAAAUGAAUAAUCCUACGAAUAUGAGGAUGGUGGUAUCCAAACUACCUUACAAGAUGCGAGAAAGUUGGCGCAAUGAAGCAUUUAAAAUCAAGGAGAAAAGAGGACUCAGAGCAAGAUUUGCCGACCUCGUCACCUUCAUUGACCGACAGUCUAAGAUAGCCAUGGAUCCACUCUUUGGAGACCUCCAAGGCAAAAACCCACCACCAGCAGGAAAAGGCAAGGAAAUUGGGAAAGUGGGCAAGAGUGGAGGAAAAGGAGCAAGCUUUGCAACCAAAGUAUGGAAAGGUACAAGACUACCAUGGAAAAGAAAGCACUUACCUUGGAACAGCUGA